UACGUAGGUGACAAGCGUUGUCCGGAUUUACUGGGCGUAAAGAGCGCGCAGGCGGUCGUUCAAGUCGAGGUCGUGAAAGCCCCCGGCUCAACUGGGGAGGGUCAUUCGAUACUGAUCGACUCGAAGGCAGGAGAGGGUAGUGGAAUUCCCGGUGAGUGGUGAAAUGCGUAGAUAUCGGGAGGAACACCAGUGGCGAAGGCGACUACCUGGCCUGUUCUUGACGCUGAGGCGCGAAAGCUGAGGGGAGCAAACGGGG
rnacentral:rRNA from 1 species